rnacentral:rRNA from 1 species
GACGAACGCUGGCGGCGUGCUUAACACAUGCAAGUCGAACGGAAAGGCCCUGCUUUUGUGGGGUGCUCGAGUGGCGAACGGGUGAGUAACACGUGAGUAACCUGCCCUUGACUUUGGGAUAACUUCAGGAAACUGGGGCUAAUACCGGAUAGGAGCUCCUGCUGCAUGGUGGGGGUUGGAAAGUUUCGGCGGUUGGGGAUGGACUCGCGGCUUAUCAGCUUGUUGGUGGGGUAGUGGCUUACCAAGGCUUUGACGGGUAGCCGGCCUGAGAGGGUGACCGGCCACAUUGGGACUGAGAUACGGCCCAGACUCCUACGGGAGGCAGCAGUGGGGAAUAUUGCACAAUGGGCGGAAGCCUGAUGCAGCAACGCCGCGUGCGGGAUGACGGCCUUCGGGUUGUAAACCGCUUUCGCCUGUGACGAAGCGUGAGUGACGGUAAUGGGUAAAGAAGCACCGGCUAACUACGUGCCAGCAGCCGCGGUGAUACGUAGGGUGCGAGCGUUGUCCGGAUUUAUUGGGCGUAAAGGGCUCGUAGGUGGUUGAUCGCGUCGGAAGUGUAAUCUUGGGGCUUAACCCUGAGCGUGCUUUCGAUACGGGUUGACUUGAGGAAGGUAGGGGAGAAUGGAAUUCCUGGUGGAGCGGUGGAAUGCGCAGAUAUCAGGAGGAACACCAGUGGCGAAGGCGGUUCUCUGGGCCUUUCCUGACGCUGAGGAGCGAAAGCGUGGGGAGCGAACAGGCUUAGAUACCCUGGUAGUCCACGCUGUAAACGGUGGGUACUAGGUGUGGGGUCCAUUCCACGGGUUCCGUGCCGUAGCUAACGCUUUAAGUACCCCGCCUGGGGAGUACGGCCGCAAGGCUAAAACUCAAAGGAAUUGACGGGGCCCCGCACAAGCGGCGGAGCAUGCGGAUUAAUUCGAUGCAACGCGUAGAACCUUACCUGGGUUUGACAUGGAUCGGGAGUGCUCAGAGAUGGGUGUGCCUCUUUUGGGGUCGGUUCACAGGUGGUGCAUGGCUGUCGUCAGCUCGUGUCGUGAGAUGUUGGGUUAAGUCCCGCAACGAGCGCAACCCUUGUUCACUGUUGCCAGCACGUUAUGGUGGGGACUCAGUGGAGACCGCCGGGGUCAACUCAGAGGAAGGUGGGGAUGACGUCAAGUCAUCAUGCCCCUUAUGUCCAGGGCUUCACGCAUGCUACAAUGGCUGGUACAGAGAGUGGCGAGCCUGUGAGGGUGAGCGAAUCUCGGAAAGUCGGUCUCAGUUCGGAUUGGGGUCUGCAACUCGACCUCAUGAAGUCGGAGUCGCUAGUAAUCGCAGAUCAGCAACGCUGCGGUGAAUACGUUCCCGGGGCU